rnacentral:rRNA from 1 species
UACGUAGGGUGCGAGCGUUAAUCGGAAUUACUGGGCGUAAAGGGUGCGCAGGCGGUUAUAUAAGACAGAUGUGAAAUCCCCGGGCUCAACCUGGGAACUGCGUUUGUGACUGUAUGACUAGAGUACGGUAGAGAGGGGUGGAAUUCCUGGUGUAGCAGUGAAAUGCGUAGAUAUCAGGAGGAACAUCGAUGGCGAAGGCGGUUCUCUGGGCAUUACCUGACGGCUGAGGAGCGAAAGUGUGGGGAGCGAACAGG